ensembl:lncRNA novel transcript
GGGAGGGGGCCAGGCAGCCGUUAGACAGCACAACCGAACCCAACACCGGGGCCCAACGGCAGGGGCUUGGGCAGGAGCAAGGUCCGAGGGCUGCCAGGUCCACGCUGCUUUUAUGAGCUGUAACACUCACCGCGAAGAUCUGCAGCUUCACUCCUGAGCCCAGCGAGACCACGAGCCCACCGGGAGGAACAAACAACUCCAGACGCGCUGCCUUAAGAGCUGUAACACUUGCCGUGAAGGUCUGCAGCUUCACUCCUGAGCCAGCGAGACCACGAACCCACCAGAAGGAAGAAACUCCGAACACAUCUCAACAUCAGAACGGACAGACUCCAGACGCACCACCUUAAGAGCUGUAACACUCACCGCGAGGUUCCGCGGCUUCAUUCUUGAAGUUCGUGAGCCACACAUCUCCCCACACCAAGCUCCUCCAUACAAGACCUCGGACUGCAUCACGUAAAUGCUUUUUCAGGGGCAAAAUCUAGAGAAUCUGAAACGAGCUAUCAGCUUCCCAGUUUGCACAAUUCAUCAAGAAAUUAUGCGGGGUCACUGGCACAAAUGAUGAGGCAUCUCCUGGAAGCUUAACUUCUUAUCCAUCCCAUCUCUUGGACAGAUGAUGCCAGUUAAUUACUUUGAAUAGAAGACUCACUGGUGGCACCUGCAGCUGCGGCGUUUUCCCCAAGGGGUCUGUCACACGCAGCCCAACUCAACUGGAGUCCUGAGAAGGUGAACAGACCAGGAUGGAUGGCCAGGGAACUCACCAGAAGUCCCCAGGCAUCAGAACAAGGUCGAAGCAUCCUGCCAGGUGCUCACCUUCUAGCACAUUCUUCAAGAGUUACUCUGAGGCAAGCCAGCCGCCAUGUCAUGAGGACACUCAAGCAGCACCAUGGAGAGGUCCGAUGGCGAGGAACAGAGGAUCCCCCUGCCGACAGCCAAUGAGGAACAGGCCUCCUGCCAACAGCCGUGUAAGGGGUCACCUUGGAAGCCAAUGGCCCCUCCCUGGUCAGGCUUUUACAUGACUGCAGUCCUGGCCAACAUCCUGACGGCAACCUCAUGAGAGACCUUGAGCCAGAGCCACCCACCUAAGCUGCUUAUAGGUUCCUGGCCCUCAGAAAUCACAUGAGAUCAUAAAUGUUUGCUCAAUUUGAGAUAUUUGUGAUGUAGCAAUAAAUAACAAACACACUUACCUUUCAGGGUUAUUAUGAGAAUUAAGAGUUAAUACACAUCAAACUACAACCAAACUUGCUGGGACCAGAGGCUCAAGAAAGGGCAGACAGGGCCGGGUGCAGUGGCUCAUGCCUGUAAUCCCAAUACUUUGGGAGGCCGAGGCAGGUGGAUCAUCUGAGGUCAGGAGUUCGAGACCAGCUGGCCAACAUGGUGAAACCCUGUGUCUACUAAAAAUACAAAAAUUAGCCAGGCAUGGUGGCGGACACCUGUAAUCCCAGCUACUCGGG